ACAUUUCCUCCCCUGCUCCUUUAAACAAAAUCACAUUCAUCCAAAUUAUUCACCCUAGAAUAUCUAAUUCUGUGAAAGCUCUCUGCAUGUGAUGUGAGCAGGUUUUUCCCCCACUCCUUCAUUCUCUCUCUUCUAGCGACACCAACAACUCCCCGAGGAUAGCAGAAGAUGCCGGCUUCCCUGUGCAUCCAGCCAGACACCUGCUUGCUUUUCUACGUUUCCUCAACCAACAAACUAUGGCUGGCGGGAGCCUUAUCUCCGCCCUACUUGCUUAAAAGAAAGAGAAAUGCAGCCGUGGCUCUUCCUCUUUCAACUUUUGCUCAACGUCCUUCGGGAUCAGAUUGUGCCACAACCUAAAGAGGGAAAAGAAGAAGUUAAACCUUUUCCUGAACUGCACCUCCUUCCUAGUGAGAUGAAGCUUCAGGAGGUUGCUUGCCGUUAUAUAAAACAAGGAACGACCACAUAAGGCUGUCUUCUACCGAGUCACACCAUUGGUCUAUCCAGCUCAGUACUGCCUUCAGUGACCAGCAGUGGCUCUCUAGAGUUUCAGACAGGGGACGCCUCCAGCCCUACCUGGAACAUUGAGCUACAGCCCAGCCCAUCUGAAAGGAACAUAGGAAGAUAGAGUCAGACCACUGGUCCAUCUAGCUCAGUACUGUCCACACUGACUGGCAGGGGCUCUCCAGGGUUUCAGACAGGAGUCUCUCCCAGCCUUGCCUGGAGAUGCCAAAAACUGAACACUGGACCUUCUCCAUGCAAAACGUGCUGCACCGUCAACUUCCUGCCCAGGACAGGGUUUUUCAAAUGCUGCUGUUUUUAAAGGUCAAGACCAUUUGUAAGCAUGAAGUAUAUGGGGAAAGGUUUUGUAUUUUUAUACAGGAUCAUAAAUUGGUUUGGAUCAGACCGUGUGUGGGUGGGUGGGUGUGAUUCUUUUUUGUUUCUAUUUAGUUUAAUAAAUAAAAGGCAGCUUAAAUAAAUAUUUAUAGACAGAUUCUUA